GAAUAAGUAAAAAAGGCAGUUGAAGAAAAGUGUUGGUUCUUAAAACGCUACUGUAAUAGCUUGUCUAAACCCCAAAAAAAGAAAAACUGCCCUUAAAAGAUACUAUUUUACAAAAAUCAGUACCCUUAACUUAUAUAGAUGUACUGGUUCAAUAUGACCUACUACCCUUUACCUCAUUUAGGAAAAAUAACAACUAAUGACAUCAAUUUAUGACGAGUUUACAUUAUUGAUCCUAACUUGUACCACUAGUUCGAUUGACACCAACUUAAUUGGUUUAAAAAAUUGUAAAUAACAUUAAUGAUGUCGAAGUAGGUAUAGGGUCCACUUACUGAGAAGUUAUCAUUCAUAGUAUUAAAAUCAUUAGUAUGUGUCAAAAAAAUCGUUAUAAGUAUUUUGAAAUGAAUUAUUAAAACAGUAAUUAAGCUUUGUUUUUCACAAAAAAAAAAAAAAAAAAAAAAAAAAAGCUUAAAGUGUAAAAAAGGAUGUGUGUUAAUUUUAAUUUUGUGGUAUUUUUAAAAGCGCCAAAGUAUAAUAACAAAACCCCAACUUUCUCAAUCUCCUCAUUACUUCAGUCAUCUUCAAAUCGACCGGGAUGUCUUCCACUACCUUGCUCAAGCCGACGCCGGGCAGCCACCACCACCUCUUCUUCAAGCCGAAGCUGCACCAUCACCUCUUUUUCCCUCCUACAAAAUCGCACCAUCAGCACCUGCAAUUGUCUGAACGUGAAGCAAUGAAGAUCCAAGUAUGCAAAAAUCAUUAAAAAUCUAAAACUAAGGCUGAGAUGAGAAAAAAUGAGGUUGAGGUGGAAAGAAUGAAAGCCAAAACACAAGAUAAGUUCGUGAACAAGCUUGCUACUGCAAGGCACACAACUGAAGAAAAGCGAACAGCUGCUGAAAUAAAAGUGAAUAAGCAAGCCACAAAGACUAGGUAGCAGGCCGAGUACAUCCGAAAGACUGGCCGUUCGUCUUGGAUUCGUUGUUCUAUGCUUGUCAUUCUCGUUUCUCUCCACUUCGAGGAUAUUAGGUGGAGCCUUACUUAGCAGCUGAAAUUGUAAUCAAUUUUCUCUGUUAGAAAGCACUAAAGUUGUUAUUGCGUUUUUUUCUGCUGUUGCAUGUUGCUGUCGCUCCGCUUAUGUGCUACUGUUGUUGUGCAUAUGUGUUGUUGCUGUUCUGCUACUGCUUCUGUUGUUGCAUGCUGCUGCUGUUCUACUUAUGUGCUGUUGCUGUUCAGUUUUCGUGCUGCUACUGUUCUAUUUCCAAGCUAAUGCUGUUUUGUAUAUUGUAAUUUUUAUUUUUUUUAAUGAAAUUGUAAUAUUACAAGCAUUUAUUAAAAAAAAUAUCCAAG